AAAAUUUUAAUUUAAACUUAUAUUGAAACAAAAUUAUUUUAUAAAAAAAAUCACCGCCUAGCGCGGAAUUUUAUCCAGUUUUAAUUAUUUGCAAACCAACUACAAAACUUACGUUAAAUGAUGCCGAAAUGAUACAACAGUGCCACUGCCCUAAUUCAAUGGGGAAUGAGAAAUUCACUUGGGUGGUUAAGAAUAUCUCAUCUUUGGAAUCUGAGUUCAUUGAGUCUGAUGAAUUUGUUUCUUGGAGCCUCUCCCACGGAUAUGUCAAGGCUGGUUAUUUGUCUCUGUAUCUGGUGGUUGCUGAUUAUAAAAGUUUGCAUUGUGGAUGGAGAAGACACACAAGAUUUCGCCUAACUAUUGUAAAUCAAGUCUCCGAUCAACUUUCCCAACGACGAGAAAAAGAAGGUUGGUUAGAUGAAUAGUGUUCUAUCUGUGGGUAUCAAAAAAUGCUUCUCCUUUCCGAACUUAAUGCCAAAGAAGGUGGAUUUCUUGUGAACAAUGAAGUCAAGAUUGUUGUGGAGGUUGAUGUUCUUCAAGUUAUUGGCAAAUUAGAUGUUUCUGAGGAAUCUCUAGAGGUAAACCAACCUCUGAAUAGGAUAAAGCUAAAUGGUGAUGGUGUGGUAACUUCAUCAGUUGAUGUCAAUGGGUUUCAAGUUCUUCCUUCACAGGCGGAAUCUGUGAAACGUAUAUUCGAAAAACACCCAGAAAUGGCACUAAAAUUCCGAGCAAAGAACCAACAUAUGAAGACAUCAUGCAUAAAUGUCCUCCUCAGCUUAAUCAAGACGUUGUGCCAGUCACUGCAAGAUAUUUCCAUUGAUGACCUGGGCCAAGCAGAGCAAGCACUAACAUAUCUGAAUAAUUUGGGCUUUAAGGUGGAUUGGUUGGAGUGUAAACUGGAGGAAGUAAAGGCAAAAAAGAUGGAAGAGCAGAUUGGUAAGACUCGGAUGCAAGAAUUAGAGAAAGACCUGAAGGUCUUUAAGAAGAAGUGCUCUGACAUAGAAGCUUUGCUGGAGAAAGAGAAGGAAGAACUCAAGGACUUGAAGCAAAAAUGCUCAGACACAGAAGCUCUGCUGGAAAAAGAGAAGACAAAGGUGUUGGCAACCAAGUCAUACAUAAUGUACUCUCGACUAUUCAAAAGCACACAUAAUAAGAUCUAAGCUUAAUCCAACUCAUAAGUCAUAAGAUUGGCAACCAAGUCAUACAUAAUGCUCUCACGGUCUA